rnacentral:rRNA from 1 species
GACGAACGCUGGCGGCGUGCUUAACACAUGCCAGUCGAACGGGCCUGUCUUCUUUUUUGGGGGGUGGGUUGAGUGGCGAACGGGUGAGUAUCACGUGAGUAACCUGCCCUUCGGUCCUGGAUAACCGCUUGAAAGGGCGGCUAAUACGGGGUGGUCCGGUUGGUCCGCAUGGGCUGGUCGGGAUAGAUUCACUGUUUUUGGUGUUUCGGCGGGGGAUGGGCUCGCGGCCUAUCCGCUUGGUGGUGGGGUGAUGGCCUACCAAGGCGGGGGCGGGUAGCCGGCCUGGGAGGGUGGGCGGCCACACUGGGACUGAGAUACGGCCCAGACUCCUGCGGGAGGCAGCAGUGGGGGGUAUUGCACAAUGGGCGGAAGCCUGAUGCAGCGACGUCGCGUGAGGGAUGGAGGCCUUCGGGUUGUGAACCUCUGUUUCCGGUGGUGAAGGCCCUGUCCGUGUGGUGGGGUUGACGGUAGCCGGGGAUGAAGCGCCGGCUAACUACGUG